GCGCCCAUAGCUCAGAUGGAUAGAGCGCGGGACUCCGGCUCCUGAGGGCGGGGGUUCAAAUCCCCCUGGGCGCU
rnacentral:tRNA from 1 species